rnacentral:rRNA from 1 species
UGGCGAACGGGUGAGUAACACGUGGGUGAUCUGCCCUGCACUUCGGGAUAAGCUUGGGAAACUGGGUCUAAUACCGGAUAGGAGCCAUCUUCAGUGUGGUGGUUGGAAAGUUUUUCGGUGUAGGAUGAGCUCGCGGCCUAUCAGCUUGUUGGUGGGGUAAUGGCCUACCAAGGCGGCGACGGGUAGCCGGCCUGAGAGGGUGUACGGCCACAUUGGGGCUGAGAUACGGCCCAG